rnacentral:misc_RNA from 1 species
GGAUACUUUUGCAUUCAAUCGCUACUACCCAAAAAUUGAAAACACCAAGAUCUUAACAAGAGUUAAAAACUUAAUAGAAGGAGCAUAUGGCUCUUGAAACUAGGUAUAAAAAAGAAAGGUUGUCUCCACUUGCAAUGAAUGCACCUAGGUGCAGGAGCAUACAGCUCUUAAAUGAGACCUAUGCGGCCUCAAUGCAAUGCAGAACCACAUAGAAAAAGGACCU